rnacentral:rRNA from 1 species
UACGUAGGGUGCAAGCGUUGUCCGGAUUUAUUGGGCGUAAAGAGCUCGUAGGCGGUCUGCCGCGUCGGAUGUGAAAACCCAGGGCUCAACCCUGGGCCUGCAUUCGAUACGGGCAGACUAGAGUGUGGCAGGGGAGACUGGAAUUCCUGGUGUAGCGGUGAAAUGCGCAGAUAUCAGGAGGAACACCGGUGGCGAAGGCGGGUCUCUGGGCCAAUACUGACGCUGAGGAGCGAAAGCGUGGGGAGCGAACAGG